CAGUCGCCGCGGUAAUACGUAGGGUGCGAGCGUUAAUCGGAAUUACUGGGCGUAAAGCGUGCGCAGGCGGUUAUGUAAGACAGUUGUGAAAUCCCCGGGCUCAACCUGGGAACUGCAUCUGUGACUGCAUAGCUAGAGUACGGUAGAGGGGGAUGGAAUUCCGCGUGUAGCAGUGAAGUGCGUAGAUAUGCGGAGGAACACCGAUGGCGAAGGCAAUCCCCUGGACCUGUACUGACGCUCAUGCACGAAAGCGUGGGGAGCAAACAGGAUUAGAUACCCGAGUAGUCCCUGUCUCUUAUAC
rnacentral:rRNA from 1 species